rnacentral:rRNA from 1 species
ACAGAGGGGGCAAGCGUUGCUCGGAAUCACUGGGCGUAAAGGGCGCGUAGGCGGGAUGGCAAGUCGGUCGUGAAAUCCCUGGGCUCAACUCAGGGGGGGUCGGCCGAUACUGCCGUUCUUGAGGGAUGCAGAGGAGACUGGAAUUCCCGGUGUAGCGGUGAAAUGUGUAGAGAUCGGGAGGAACACCGGUGGCGAAGGCGGCGCACUGGACCAUAACUGACGCUGAGGCGCGAAAGCUAGGGGAGCAAACAGGA